rnacentral:rRNA from 1 species
AUUGAACGCUGGCGGCAGGCCUAACACAUGCAAGUCGAGCGGAUGAAGGGAGCUUGCUCCUGGAUUCAGCGGCGGACGGGUGAGUAAUGCCUAGGAAUCUGCCUGGUAGUGGGGGAUAACGUCCGGAAACGGGCGCUAAUACCGCAUACGUCCUGAGGGAGAAAGUGGGGGAUCUUCGGACCUCACGCUAUUAGAUGAGCCUAGGUCGGAUUAGCUAGUUGGUGGGGUAAAGGCCUACCAAGGCGACGAUCCGUAACUGGUCUGAGAGGAUGAUCAGUCACACUGGAACUGAGACACGGUCCAGACUCCUACGGGAGGCAGCAGUGGGGAAUAUUGGACAAUGGGCGAAAGCCUGAUCCAGCCAUGCCGCGUGUGUGAAGAAGGUCUUCGGAUUGUAAAGCACUGUUAGUUGGGAAGAAGGGCAGUAAGUUAAUACCUGGCUGUUUUGACGUUACCAACAGAAUAAGCACCGGCUAACUUCGUG